UAUAUAGACUAGUGGAGAUGACAUCUGCCCGGUAAGCGGAACACUGUGGGUUCGAUUCCCAUCCCUGGACAU
rnacentral:tRNA from 1 species